rnacentral:rRNA from 1 species
UAACACAUGCAAGUCGAACGAACGAACCUAGCUUGCUAGGUGAGUUAGUGGCAAACGGGUGAGUAACACGUGGGAAUCUACCCAGUAGUACGGAAUAACAGUUAGAAAUGACUGCUAAUACCGUAUAGUAUCGAGAGAUUAAAGAUUUAUCGCUACUGGAUGAGCCCGCGUCAGAUUAGGUAGUUGGUGGGGUAAUGGCCUACCAAGCCGAAGAUCUGUAGCUGGUCUGAGAGGAUGAUCAGCCACACUGGAACUGAGACACGGUCCAGACUCC